rnacentral:misc_RNA from 1 species
GAGCGUCAUUUCAACCCUCAAGCUCUGCUUGGUAUUAGGUCGCGCCGGUAAUGCGGCGGGCCUCAAAAUCAGUGGCGGUGCAUCUGGCUUCAAGCGUAGUAGUUACAUCUCGCUUUCGGAGAUCCAGGUGGCUGCUAGCCAGCGAACCCCAUACUUCUAAGGUUGACCUCGGAUCAGGUAGGGAUACCCGCUGAACUUAA